rnacentral:misc_RNA from 1 species
UUAGUUCCUUUUCUUAUAUUAUUGGUCCUACUUACAAUUUCCUUUGUUUCUGCUUCCUCUUCAUUGACGUUCCAGUUUGUAGUUCUUUGUUGACUGAGGAAACCAUGGUUACAUACAUCUAAAUAAAUGCUCUAGGAAGUGAUGAAGUGAUACCUGAAUAAAGUAUUUGAUGUAGCCAAUCUCUCAUUAUUAUCUAUAGUAGUUAAUUUCACUCAUUUGCUGGAAUUGUUUACCAAAUUAUGGAUGGAUUCCAUGCAUUGGGAUUGUUCU